UGAGACGUUCACACCGGAGCCUGGAACCACCCCCCCCCCCCCCCCAGAGGAUAUCGGGGGGUCGGGCCCCGCCAAGGAUGCACCGUGCCAAAGGAUGACAUCACAGUUUAUUCUCUCCCUACAGAAAAAAAAGGAAAGAGUCUGAGUGGAUUUUUUUUUUAGAAUUUUAGAAUGCAGCGUUACCGUCGGUGCUUUGUUUUGAUUCCUGGAUUCUUGUUUCGCCUAACCCCUUUUGUUUGAAAGGCACCCCCCCCCCUUCCCCCACCCUCCCCCUGCCAUUUUUAGAACACUGGCAGUUGUUCUGAGAAUACCAAAAAAGCCGCGUUUCAUAGCAUCACCUGAUUGAUUAUAAACCCUGCAAUGUAGGGCUGAUUAAAUACAGAAAAAAAUGUGAAAUUUACGGGGAAGGGUAAGAGCCUGGCAGCGAUCCAGCGCCGUGUUUGUUUUACAUCCGCAGAAUUGUUCCUCUUUCAUGUUUCCAGAGGACUGUGAAAAAUGAUUCAGACUCUUACACUCACCGCAAUUGUUUUGAUUACAUAAUUGCUUGCAAUUGUUUCUCAUUAUAUUGAGAUAAUGUCCUAGUAACAAAAAAAAUUAAAAAAACACCUGCGCAAAUGAGGCACAACAAAGCAGAGGCUUCCAAACAGGUGUGGCUCAUCCAAUAAUUAAGCAGAUGGCAUCCCAGCAUGCAUUGGGGCGCAUAUUAAAUUGCUGGACAGGCCUGCUUGGAUAUAAUUAUGGCUGGCAUGGCUGCUCGAGGAGACCUCUCUGACUUUGACAGAGAUGGUGAUUGCCGGUGCUCGUUUGGCAAGAGCUUCGGCGUCCGAGACGGCUCGACUUGCUGAUGUUUCACAAGCAGCGGAGUGUAGGGUGAUGUCAGCGUGGAUCUCGGAGGGAAUGACAUCAUCAGCGAAAGGGCAACAGUGCACAGAAGUGCACACUACUAAAUCAUGCGAGGAUACAGCAACGGUGGCCCAACAAAGAUUUGUUGCUUCCCAGUUUCAACCUGAGUGACAGGGAUGAAAACAGAGCCACACUUCAGCUGGGGGGAGAGAAGAAGAAGCAGAAGAAGAAGCAGAAGAAGAAGAAGAAG